CUUUUCUUUAUGCAGUGUUCAACUAUUCUUCUGUGCCAUUCUUCUUUAGAAGUGAGAGUUGCUUGAAGCCUCUUGGGGAGAUUCUCCCAUGGACAUUCCUCCUUUAUUGCUUUAAAAAUAAGCUNNNCACAGGAAUCCGUUGCAUAGUGGCAAUUCACUUGAUCCGCUCCCGCAACGCCGCUGUCGCCACUUCCACCGGUCGGUGCCACUGAAGGUUGCUAGAGAGGUAAGCCUNCAGUGGCAAGCAAACGUGUCACUAUUUUCCGAUCUGGUCUCCCUCUCUUACGGCUUUGUCGGUGAUCGGAACGAUUAUAAGUGUUAAGAGAAGCUUCAACUUCUCUCUUUGUUGCCGUUUUCUCCCUCUUAAGCUAAAGCGUCCGCUGU
rnacentral:misc_RNA from 1 species